rnacentral:rRNA from 1 species
AGCCUAAAGCAUUUAUUUUAGGUGGAAUCUGCUCAGUGUACUUACGGUAGUAAUAUAAAUAGCCGCGGUACUUUGACCGUGCUAAGGUAGCGUAAUAAUUUGGCUCUUAAAUGGGGUCGAGUAUGAAUGAAAGAACGUAGCUAAGCUGUCUCGGAACCAUUUCAUCGAAGUUACUGUGUAGAUGAAAAAGUCUAUAAGAAUAUAAAAGACGAGAAGACCCUUAGAAUUUAAACAAGAUUGGAAUAUAUUUUCAGGCCGUUUUUGUUGGGGCGACAUAAAAACAAGAGGUUAACUUUUUGGAAUAUAUAAGACGAUUUUUUUAAGGUCGGAAAAAUUACCUGAGGGAUAACAGCAUAAUUUUAUAGAUUAGUUUGUGACCUCGAUGUUGGACUAGGAAAUUGAUAGACUAGUCGUUUAUUAUAUUGGUUCUGUUCGAACUGUUUUUCCU